ACGGCUCAGUAACACGUGGCUAACCUGCCCUCGAGACAGAGGCAACCCCGGGAAACUGGGGCUAAUCUCCGAUAGGCGAAGAGCUCUGGAAUGAGCCUUUACCCAAAUAACAAUCAGGCUAUGCUUCUGGUUGUCGCUCGAGGAUGGGGCCGCGACCGAUCAGGUUGUUGGUGAGGUAACGGCUCACCAAGCCUAUAACCGGUGCGGGCCGUGGGAGCGGGAGCCCGGAGAUGGGCACUGAGACAAGGGCCCAGGCCCUACGGGGCGCAGCAGUCGCGCAAACUUUGCAAUACACGAAAGUGUGACAGGGCUAUCCCGAGUGCCGUCCGCUGAGGAUGGCUUUUACCCAGUCUAGAACGCUGGGGGAAUAAGGAGAGGGCAAGUCUGGUGUCAGCCGCCGCGGUAAUACCAGCUCUCCGAGUGGUGUGGAUGUUUAUUGGGCCUAAAGCAUCCGUAGCUGGCCAAGUUAGUCCCUUGUUAAACCCACCGAAUUAAUCGUUGGAUUGCGGGGGAUACUGCUCGGCUAGGGGACGAGAGAGGCAGACGGUAUUUUCGGGGUAGGGGUGAAAUCCUAUAAUCCCGGGAAGACCACCAGUGGCGAAGGCUGUCUGCUAGAACGCGCCCGACGGUGAGGGAUGAAAGCUGGGGGAGCGAACCGGAUUAGAUACCCGGGUAGUCCCAGCUGUAAACGAUGCAGGCUAGGUGUUUGGGCGGCCACGUGCCGCUCUAGUGCCGCAGGGAAGCUGUUAAGUCUGCCGCCUGGGGAGUACGGUCGCAAGAUUGAAACUUAAAGGAAUUGGCGGGGGAGCAC
rnacentral:rRNA from 1 species